rnacentral:lncRNA from 1 species
AUGUUGGCUUCCUCCAGCGUCGCAGCUAUGAAGAAAGUGGUUCAACAGCUCAGGCUGGAGGCUGAACUCAACCGUGUUAAAGUUUCCCAGGCAGCUGCAGACUUUAAACAAUUGUCUGCAGAAUGCUCAACAUGACCCUCUACUGACUGGAAUAUCUUCAAAUACAAAUCCUUUCAGACCCAGAAAUUCUAUUCCUUUUUGUAG